GACAGAGGGUGCAAACGUUGUUCGGAAUUACUGGGCGUAAAGCGUGUGUAGGCGGUCCCGUAAGUCGGAUGUGAAAGCCCCGGGCUCAACCCGGGAAGUGCACUCGAAACUGCAGGGCUAGAGUAUCGGAGAGGUUGGUGGAAUUCUCGGUGUAGAGGUGAAAUUCGUAGAUAUCGAGAGGAACACCGGCGGCGAAGGCGGCCAACUGGACGAAUACUGACGCUGAGACACGAAAGCGUGGGGAGCAAACAGG
rnacentral:rRNA from 1 species